rnacentral:rRNA from 1 species
CAAUAGCGUAUAUUGAAGUUGUUGCGGUUAAAAAGCUCGUCGUUGGAUUUCUGUUGAGGUCGAACAGUGCCGCCCUAUGGGCGCGCAACUGGCUCGGCUUCGGCAUCUUCUUGGAGAGCGCAUCUGCACUUAACUGUGUGGAUCGUACUUCAAGUCAGUUACUUUGAGGAAUUGUGAGUGUUUCAAGCAGGCUUACGCCGUUGAAUCCGUUAGCAUGGAAUAAUAGGAUAGGACCUCGGUUCUAUUUUGUUGGUUUUGAGAGCUGGGGCAGCGAUUGAUAGGGACGGAUGGGGGCGUCCGAACUUUACUGUCAGAGGUGAAAUUCUUAGAUCGGUCAAAGGCGAACCACUGCGAACGCAUUCGCCAAGAAUGUUUUCUUUA